rnacentral:rRNA from 1 species
GUCCACGCCGUAAACGAUGUCAACUAGCCGUUGGAUAUAUAUAAGUAUUUAGUGGCGCAGCUAACGCGAUAAGUUGACCGCCUGGGGAGUACGGUCGCAAGAUUAAAACUCAAAGGAAUUGACGGGGGCCCGCACAAGCGGUGGAGCAUGUGGUUUAAUUCGAUGCAACGCGAAAAACCUUACCUACCCUUGACAUCCUCAGAACUUGUCAGAGAUGACUUGGUGCCUUCGGGAACUGAGUGACAGGUGCUGCAUGGCU